GAAGGUAUAGCUCAGUGGUAGAGAGUGUGUUUUGCAUGCAGGAGGUCCUGGGUUCAACCCCUAGUAUCUCCA
rnacentral:tRNA from 1 species